rnacentral:tRNA from 1 species
GCCGGUGUGGCGGAAUCGGCAGACGCGACGGACUCAAAAUCCGUUGGUAGCGAUAUCGUGCGGGUUCAAGUCCCGCCACCGGCACCA